rnacentral:lncRNA from 1 species
CAGAAAUAGCCAGCAAACAAGUCCUGAAUUAGUGAAGGAGGGUGAAAGGGUCAGCUGUCACUGGGGCAGGAAUGAGGCAGAGAGAAGGAGCCACCAAGAGUGUCAGAAGCUCCAUUGCCAGGACACGAACCAACAGGAAAGCAGAUCCAACACAUUUAAACAGAUUGAAAGUAAAUAAGAAGACAGGCAGGUCAUAAGGAACUGGGAGCUGUUCGUUUUCUAUGAAAAAAGGAGGUCAAUUGCAAAUUUCCGAGACAGCUCCUUAAUCCAAACCAAGGGGACGCUGUGUGUCUCGGUCAAAGCUAUGUCUGCUCUCUAUCUGUCAAAGGUGGUACCUCAGGAUUCAACACGCAGCCUUUUAAAACCGGCACAAGAUCAGUCAUCUGCAUCUGGGAAAAGAUCCCAACUAACCAAGAUGUCCAAAGACUCCGAACAAAGGAAAGAUGACCCUCCUCCACUUCCUUCAGCCGGACAUAAACCAGGACCAGAAGACAUCUCUGGGGCACAUGUCCCACAAUUCAUGCCAUCCCAACUCUCCAAAGAAAAGCUGUACCAACAGCGGCAAAAAUGUGAGCUGAGAAGGCUCCUGAAGCACACUCACCCGGAGCUGAAGAUGUUGAAUGAAGUUGUGGAUGAGGAGCUUGCUGAGGUUUUGAGAUUAGAGACUGGGGUGACAGCUGGUGAAACAGGAUACGAGGGAGAGGUCCUUUCAAGAUGCUUGAUAUUUGAGAACUGUGCCCAGAUUAACAAAGUAUCUCCUUACACCCCCAAGAUGCGCACGGCAGAAAGAACAAUGGAAAGAGGCGUUGUCAGUAAAACAUCAGCUGUGUUUGAGGAGCAUGAAGAAAGGACUUGUAAUGAAAGUGAUAAAGGCAUCGUAGAGGAUGACAAAACACUUGGGUCUAGUCCAGAUCCUAACAGAGAGUGUGAGGAGGAGAUGAUAAAAAUAGAUGUUCAGGCUACCCGAAGGAUAUUUGAGAGUCAGUCUGUUAACACAUCCACACCAAAUCCAGAUAAUAAGUGCCAGGGAAAAGUUUCUAUUUCUGGAGAUGAGACAGGGGCAGUCAGAAAACAAAAACAGGAGUUUGAAAUGUAUAGCAAAGAUAAUCUACACAUCGAAAACAAAAGCAAUACAUCUACCAAAAGUCUUGAUUUGACAGACCAGCCCAAUAAACAAGGCCCAUGUGUUCAUAUCAUUGGUCAAAGCUCUGACCAUGUGUUUUCUGAUAGGAAAGGGGAUUCUACUGGUGAAACAGUCUUUGAGGGUGAGCCUACAAGCUCCCAUGAUCCAGAAGAAUUUGGGAAAAUAAUCGAAACGAGUGCAGCUCUUUCCCAAAACAACCCAUUUAUCCCAACAAACAUAGAAAGGGAACAUUCCUUUGUGCAUACAUCACAAUCACAAAGCCCAGCAGGAGACAGUGGGGCAGCUCAGGACCUUCUGAUAGCUAAUGUCAAGAACAGAGCUCACUUGUUUGAAUCAAUGCCAUUUGACCAAAUCAGGAAUCAGAACAAGAACGAAAUUGAGACGUUGGUUGAGAACAUCAAGGAAACGCUGAAUUCCCUUCAUCACGUUAAUGCCAUACAUUCAGAUGGCUUAAUCAUUGAGGUAAAUGAGACAAUGAUAGCUAAAAAGCCAAAUUCACACUAUCAGAGAGUGGGCCUGAGAUUAAAUAUGAUGAGGUGGCUGAAGGUGGUGCACAAAACUUCAUACUCCAGUUGCUACCACGGUCAAACCUAAAGCCUCAAAUCAUUUAUCUAAAGGAGGGUAGUAAAGGAAAUAUAGAGACAACAGUGAUGAAUGUACCGGUGCAGCAUCAUCACUUCAAUACCAACCAAGACACAGAGUUUAAAACGGCCAAUGUGGUUCAGCUUGUUGAGGAUAUUCUCAAUCAAGAUAACUCUCUGCGGAAAGGAGUGAUUAUCCAGGAGGAUACCGACAGAUGUGCUGAAGUCAUUGUUUACUCCCUCUACAAUUAUUUUGAUGAGGAAGAUGUGAACAGUUUCUGUCCUCCACAAGGUGCAGAGUAUGAUGAACCAGAGCAAGAAAGAGAUGUGAGUAAAACAGACAGUCAAGAACUAAGAAGAGAUGUUAUUGGAUCAACCACAAGCUGCCUUCUAGAAACUCCCAAAUACCAAAUCUGCCAAGGAUCAAUAAGGCCUGAAAUCACAGUAAAAGGGAAUGUGAAAUUGUUCAAGAGUUGUAUUGAAAAGGGAGAAUUGGAGUAUUUGAAAACUCUUCAGGAUGAGCCAACAGUGCAAGAACAAGAACUCCCUUCUUACCAAAAUGUGGCUGGACAAGGAAUGGAGCUUCAUCACGAACAGCAAGGUGAUCAAGCAGAGGAGAGUACUGCAGAAUGGGUCCCAGUGGAUGUAAAGAGACUGAAAAACAUGUUCUCUGGAGAUCAAGGACCAACCCAACUGAAACAAAAUAUAUGUGGAAGUCUUGCCCAGUCUACCACCAUCUCUUGUGCAUUCACAAGUCAAAAUGUGCCACGAGGAAAGAACCAGUCCUCUACAGAAUAUAUUCAUGGGCAAGUAAAGAAUAGCUUUGAGAGUGGUGGAAAAACACAAGAAGGAGAAUGUAACUCUACAGUUGCACCACAGGGAUCAUACCUACAUCUUGAGACUAAGGACGAUGGUAGGCUGAAGACUAAGGCUGAAUUAGUCGAGGUGGUGGAUAACAAUGAUGAGAUCUCUAACCUCCAAACUGCAAUACAUAGCCUCCAUCAGGCCACAAUCGAGGCCAAAUCUUUGCAUCACUCGUCACAAGCAAAAGCGGAAUUUCUUGUUCAAGAUCCC